GAUGAGUCGAGUCAGGUUUCACAGGUGUGCUGCUGCUACAACAACGGGCAUCCAGUGAGGAAAACUACACGGAACUCUGAUAAAAUCACUCAUUUUGCAGAGAUAUUCUUGUUAAUUUAGUUAAAGCAAUGCCAGAGUCAAACCGGCAUUACCACACAAGGAACAAAGACUACUCCAGCCAACAAAGGAGAGAUGGAGAGAGAGAACGGGAGCACAGACAUGAGAAGAGAUACAAGGAGGACAGGAGAACACCUGAUGGGGAAGACAAAUCACGGAGCCACAAAGAUAAACAAAGGGAUGCCUACAUUCACAAGGAACCCCUAUGUAUCCACCUAUCAUCAUAAUUAGGGAAUGCCCAGUAUGGUGACAUCAUACUAUGAUGAUGACAGUGAACCACACCAUAUAGGGGCAUUUUAUAGUCCAAGAUACAUCACCACAAGCAGAGGUAGACCCUUUUAUGUUAUAUUGGUUUCAACCAUUUAUUAUUUUGUGUCAUCAAAUUAAAGACAAUCUGAAUAAAAGUAUUUUUUUUUUUUUAAGUACAUUACCAAUCAAAAGUAUGGA